UAGAAAACCACCGACCUUCGAUAGGAAAACUGACAAUUCUAGUCUAUUAAAAUUGGAGUCAAGAGCACCCGCGCGGGCGGGAUUAUAGUUAGAACACAAACUUACAAACUGUUAAUGAGGCACAUAGUAAGUGUAUUGCAAGCAGAAGAACUAAACCCUAAAGCGAAUGCGAGUGUAAUGAAAGCAGAUGGAAAAACUCAAGUUGUGUAAUGAAG
rnacentral:lncRNA from 1 species